UACGUAGGGUGCAAGCGUUGUCCGGAAUUAUUGGGCGUAAAGAGCUCGUAGGCGGUCUGUCGCGUCGGAUGUGAAAACCCAGGGCUCAACCCUGAGCCUGCUUCCGAUACGGGCAGACUAGAGGUAUGCAGGGGAGAACGGAAUUCCUGGUGUAGCGGUGAAAUGCGCAGAUAUCAGGAGGAACACCGGUGGCGAAGGCGGUUCUCUGGGCCGUAACUGACGCUGAGGAGCGAAAGCGUGGGGAGCGAACAGG
rnacentral:rRNA from 1 species